rnacentral:tRNA from 1 species
GGUAGGAUACUCAAGCGGUCAACGAGGGCAGACUGUAAAUCUGCUGGCCUACGGCCUACGCUGGUUCGAAUCCAGCUCCUACCACCA